rnacentral:rRNA from 1 species
GUCUACAGCUGUGCCACCCUGAACACUCCCGAUCCCAUCUGAUCUCGGAAGCUAAGUAGGGUAAUGCCUGGUUAGUACUUGAAUGGGAGACUACCUGGAAGACCAGGUGCUAUAGGUG